GCAAAAUGGACAACAUCCAGCGCUUCUUGGAUAAUAUGUUGAGGUUCAGGAAUCAAUACAUGGGCAAGAAAAAUUCUGAAGGUGAUGCUGAUUCUUUUAUUCCAGUACAUGCUGAAUAUGGAGGAAAAGGACAUGGAUGCUCUAUCUUCAGGAAAAGGACAUGGAUGAUCUAGAAGAUAUGCACCCUCAAGGAGAAUAGGUCGGGUAAUUGUUUUUGCA